rnacentral:rRNA from 1 species
CAGUCGCCACGGUAAAACGGAGGGUGCAAGCGUUAAUCGGAAUUACUGGGCGUAAAGCGCACGCAGGCGGUCUGUCAAGUCAGAUGUGAAAUCCCCGGGCUUAACCUGGGAACUGCAUUUGAAACUGGCAGGCUAGAGUCUUGUAGAGGGGGGUAGAAUUCCAGGUGUAGCGGUGAAAUGCGUAGAGAUCUGGAGGAAUACCGGUGGCGAAGGCGGCCCCCUGGACAAAGACUGACGCUCAGGUGCGAAAGCGUGGGGAGCAAACAGGAUUAGAUACCCGUGUAGUCCCUGUCUCUUAUAC